CUUUCUCACAGAGAAAGCCCUUGACCAUUUCUAAAGAGAAAGCAGCAUGACUGUUGGGCGAGGAGAGACGCAGAGCUCGGCGGGCUGGGGGAAGAUCCCCUGUUGCUUUCUCCCAGAUCUCAGCGGACCACAAGUGACCAUGAAGGGACACGGCCCCUCACACAGACACAGCUGCUGAAAGCUCCACCACCUUCAAGACCACAAACUCCCAAAGACCUUUCCACUGCUGGUGGCCAUCCACCGGCUCCCACAUUAUGGGCAGCAGAGACCUGUGGUAGGCGCAGGACAGAGGUGACUCCGCUGGAUUCCUUCCCACCUCCCGGCUUGCCUUCUUGCCUCCCAGGCAGCAAGUGACCCAUCACAGUGGGGGUCACUGCACUUUACGUUACCAAGAGGCUUUGCAAGCGUUUCUUUCUUGCUGCUCUCAAAAAUGAGCAGGUCGCAGAACAAAUGCAGCUCUGUUGCAGGGAUGUUUUCCUCAACAGGCAACAUUCCCUACUUUUACGAGUCCCGACUUGCAUCCACUGUGGGUUCAUUUUAGAUACUUGACUUCAACAACAGCAAUUGUUCUAGUUUUCCUGGUAUUAUGCUAUUUCCAGCUUUUCCUUUCCUUUUUUAGGAUAGCAAGCAGCUGUGGUUCCUAGCAAUGCCCAGAGUUGUUCUAGCACAUUUUUAUUGGGAGUUCUGUACGCUUGGCUGCUGGAUCCUUCCUUCUUUCCUACACGAGGAUGACUGGUCUCAUUUAGGAUUAUUUUUUUUUCCCUCAAAAAAAUAAAAAAAGAAAUCUGAGAACGUGAUCGAAAAAGCACAGUCAGAGCAGGGAUGGGAAUAACCCCAAGGCAGGCAGGGCCAGGCAGGCUUGUCCUACUGACAGACUCUGCGUAGGUGCCCGUUUUUUAAUCGGCAGCACGAAGAGGGACCCACCUGAGAGCCACACACACAGAGCUCCUUCCUUACGGGGGAACCCACAGUUUAAACAGCAAUACAGAAGGGGUGGUGGCAGGUAUGCAAGCAAUUAAUGAGACCACACCGGUCAAAACAGAGCACAGGUAACCUGAGGACGUGGCUGGCCAGAAAGACAAGCAGCAAGCGUUGGCCCAGAAGGGGAGCACGGGGGUGCGCACGCAUGUUAGCGCAGAUUUAACCGUGGAGAGUGUCUAAUGUGAGGGAUGUACAGCGAGGCACAGCAGAGGGGUGACGAAGGGACGAGAAGCGCAGACAGCUUUUGUUGAAAUGGGAAAGAGAAGGGGGAGAUGGCAAAUGUGGGUGAGGAACAGCAGUGUGGCUGGGCUGGCCAGAGCCAUGGUAGCAGAAUGCUCUGCAGACACCUCGGAUGUGGUGCUGAGCUGGCCAAGAACGGAGGAGGGGGUGCUGCAGCAACAGAUAAGAGCCUGACCGGGAAUUUCAGCUGGGAGGACUGAUAAGCAAGAUAUUUUAGAGGUGCGACCUGAAGCAUCUGAGAGACCCAAACAGAGCAAGAACAAGUGAAGCUAGAGAGCAAGCCAGGAGCUGAAGAGUGCAGACAGAUCUGGGCACAGAGGAAUGCUCCCAGAACAACAGAGGACAAAUCAGAAGCAUUUUUAAAGCCAUUCUGAGCACAACUUGAUGGCCAGACAGCCAGAAGGACAUUUUGGAGCAGCCACAACUGUGGUUUGGACAGGAGGAACUGGGAGAUGGGAGGCAGACCUACAAAUCACCCCUUGUGCGGCUCUGCAGAGGAGAUUAGGGGUGAUGAGCUGAGUGGGGGAGAUAAGGACCGCACACGGAGUUCCGAGCAGCCCUAAGAGGAAGCGAGGAAGGUCAGCAACUCAUCUACGCAGUAAAGCUUCUCCUACAAACAGUGCGUUGGCAGCUCCAUCGUCCGAAGCCCUGGUCAUGUGCCUGGCCUUCCCUACUCCAACCAGCACAGAGGUGCCCCAGCUACACAGCAAACGCUGAAUUACCCCAACCGGACUGACCUCCCUCUAGCAGCAAUCCCAGAGCACCCCAUCCCCUGUAAGAGGACAGCACAGAUCACUUUUAACCUUUGUACAAUAAGAAUCUCACAGACAGAAGGCAAAUAGGUAUUUUACUGCAUCUUAUUCUAUUUAUAUUCCUCGUGACCUUUGAAACUCCUUCUUCCUCACUAAGAUGGGAGCCAAACAUGUAAAGGCAGGAAGCAAAUUAAUUUCCUUUUGAAGCAGUUGAUUUACUUUGCCAAUAUGUACUGACACAGUAAAAAAAAAAAAGAAUACAAUAAGCCACCCUAAGGGCAGAGGGUUUCUGGCACAGCAGCAGUUAGUGCAUAUGAGACUUAAAAUAAAUCUUGCAAACAAUCCAAAAAGUGGUCAGUCAGAUUAAACAAUUUUUGUAGGGAAAACUAUCAAGUAAACAUGGGAAAGCAACAAAAGCCAAGUCCAAAAACAACCUCUUCCAUGCUACAAUCAUGUGCGAGACUAAAGGGAAAGAGGCAGAGCUGGCUGCUUGCUGCCUACUUCAGCGAUGGGCUGGAUCCCAGACCGCCCUGCAGGAAACCACCUCUCUCUGCCUGCGUGACCAGAAGUUAUUCCGGGUACAACCACAUUUCUUUGUCCUCCAGCAUGAUCCUGAGGCUUUCCCAGAUGUCCUUUCUUCUGGGAUCAGCAGGGUUGUGGAAGGGAGCUCAUUCCUUGGACCCACGGCAGGGCUAUGGGAUGGCUUGAGAGCCUUCCCGAUGCACUUGGCCUGGCUCCAGCCACCGGGAAGCACCGGGCAAGACUCAAGGAGAGCUGCAGAAGCUCUAGAAAUGGUGGAAGAAGAGGGACCAACACAAGCAGCACUGCAGGUCACCAGGACGCUUUGCUAUACAGCAACAGGUGCUUCCGUGGUUGGUGUCACCACGGGAAAUGCCACCCACAAACAUGACAUCACAGCACUGCCGGCAGCUGCACCUCAGAGAAAUCCUACGGGUAGCAGGUCCUCUAGAUCUUCAGGACUCAGACGGGGCUGGACAAAGCAGCAAAGAAGGACAUGUAAGGAAGAGGCUAGCAUGGGCAAGUGCCAAGAGCGCAGGGAUCAAGUAUUUCCAGCCUUGGCCCCAAAGAGGCCAUUCCAGGUUGGCUGAGCAGCGCCAGGGAUGCACAGAGAAAUACCAAGAGGAUCUAGGGUGGGAUCUGAGAAGAGCAUCUCCAGACAGCAGAUGGAAGCGAAGAGAGAAAGAAAGAGAGGAAUGAGACUCAGCUAGAGCCAAGAGUAGUUUGUUUUGCACUGACUGAGGAGUCUUGCAGGUUUGCACCGAGAAAGACAAGCUGGGGAAGAGGGUAGAGGAGCACAGACAAGACACAGAAUGGUGCAGUGAGUUCAGCAGAAGAAUUCAAGGAAAGCAAAGAAAAAAAGUCUGUCUGCGAGGAAGAUAACACUGGAAGAAGGGUGGGGGCCAGUUUAUGUCACAUCUCAGUUCUCUGAACUGGAGGAGGGGCAGCGAUCACUGCACUGGGCGUUGCACCCAGAGGAAAGGUUUCUUUCACUAAUAGCAUAAGCAGGACUCAUGAGAUUAUCACCAUUGCCCCCUGCAAACCUCGCUUUGCUUGUACCAAAGACAUCCCAGCAGCCCUCCCCAUGACUGCAGAGGUGCAGGAGACUAGGGAGACAGCAGAAAGGCUGCACGUGGCAGACCCACGGGAGACGUCCCAUACUCCAGCGUGACCCAAACAGCCAAGCAAACAUCUCUGAGAUUUUCAAAGGUGCUUUGUUGCGGGUGACAGUUGUGUUCAGAAGUUGUGCUUUCCUUAGAGACAAAAAAAGAAUUCACUGACCUAGAUAAAAUAUCCAGUUUAAGGUAACCAAAA